UACGUAGGGGGCAAGCGUUGUCCGGAUUCACUGGGUGUAAAGGGAGCGUAGACGGCCAUGCAAGCCUGGAGUGAAAGCCCGGGGCCCAACCCCGGGACUGCUCUGGGAACUGUGCGGCUGGAGUGCGGGAGGGGCAGGCGGAAUUCCUGGUGUAGCGGUGAAAUGCGUAGAUAUCAGGAGGAACACCGGCGGCGAAGGCGGCCUGCUGGACCGCGACUGACGUUGAGGCUCGAAAGCGUGGGGAGCAAACAGG
rnacentral:rRNA from 1 species